rnacentral:lncRNA from 1 species
GUCGGCUCAACCACCGGUACCGCCACCAGCUUCACCACCGACACCUCCGGAUAGUUCGCCUGAAGCGGCGACUCGAUUUGUUUCUGGAGCCACCGGUGGUGUUAUGGAUGAAGCGACGCUUCACGCCUCCUCCGCCGUCACGCUUCUUAUGCUUCCUCACCGUAGCUUCUUAUCUUCAAUCUUCAAGCCGGCUCAGCUCACGAGCCACCGCUUCUGCUACCUCAUCCUUCAUCAAUCUCCUCUGCCUCCUCCACCUUCCUUUACCAAAAUAAAUAAACUCAGAUUCAACGCUCAGAAGAGAGAAGGAGAGAGAGAGAGAGACGCUACCGGUGAUGGUGGUGAAGAGCGUGACGGUGGUGGUGGUGAAGAACGCGACGGUCGUUGUUAAACGUCGUUGUUGUAUAUGGAGAAGAAGAAGGCUGUGAGUGAUUGUGAGAGAUUAAGACAGAGUUGUGUUGUUGAAGAGACAGAGAGAAGAAGAUUAGAAAAGGC